UAAACGUUGGCGGCGUGCCUAACGCAUGCAAGUCGCACGGGGGCUUCGGCCCUAGUGGCGGACGGGUGAGUAACACGUAGGGACCUGCCCAGAAGUGGGGGACAACUCUCCGAAAGGGGAGCUAAUACCGCAUACGGUCUACGGACCAAAGCCGAAAGGCGCUUUUGGAGGGUCCUGCGGUGGAUUAGCUAGUUGGUGGGGUAACGGCCUACCAAGGCGACGAUCCAUAGCUGGUCUGAGAGGAUGAUCAGCCACACUGGGACUGAGACACGGCCCAGACUCC
rnacentral:rRNA from 1 species